rnacentral:rRNA from 1 species
UACGGAGGGGACUAGCGUUGUUCGGAAUUACUGGGCGUAAAGCGCGCGUAGGCGGACCUGCAAGUCGGGGGUGAAAGCCCGAGGCUCAACCUCGGAACUGCCUUCGAUACUGCGGGUCUCGAGUCCGGGAGAGGUGAGUGGAAUUCCUAGUGUAGAGGUGAAAUUCGUAGAUAUUAGCUAGAACACCAGUGGCGAAGGCGGCCAACUGGUCCGGUACUGACGCUGAGGUGCGAAAGCGUGGGGAGCAAACAGG